AUAGUAAAGAACAUUUCCUAUCAUCUUCCCUACUCAAAUAAGUGUAUACGCGAGAGCUGCUUCAGCCUUAUGAUUACAUAUCUUUGUUUCACACAAAACACCAAAAAUAUUAUAGAUCUUUUGGAAAAGUGCUUUUCCACACAGUAUGCUGGCAGAUUUCAGAGAGUGUCUGGAUUUCUAAUUCACAAAAGUUCUAGAAAUCUUUUCUGAAGAGCCUGAGUAGAUUUGAUCCUUUGGCGCUCAGUCACUCCCAGUUAUUUUCCUAGAAGUAGGUCUGUCGUAAACAGUGUUGGGUAGUAACGGAUUACAUGUAACGACGUUACGUAAUUUAAUUACAAAAAAUGAGUAACUGUAAUUCGUUACAGUUACAAUGAGAAAAUAUGUAAUUCAGUUACAGUUACUUCCGAAAAUAUUAAGAAUUACAAAUUUAGUUACAUUUAAAAAAAAAUAUGAACAAAAACCUUUGCGAAAUAUGUAAUGAUAUUUUUAUUGCUUUGCGCCCUAUAUCGCCGUUUCCCGCUACGGCUCCUUGUCUCUAUCAUAUUUGCCAGCCGCAAUGCCACUCUGAUGAUCCGUCCUGUGCUGGCGGAGCCUCCUGGAGGAACAGCAAGCGAGCGGACGGUUCCAUUUCAGCUCAAGCAGCGCAUCAAAAAUGACAGCCUUCCAGCACUGGAAAUAUAAGGAGCAUUUCAUUUACAUAUGUGAAAAUGGCUCAAAUUUAACCGUGCAGUGCAAGAAGUGUUUGCCGGCUAUCAAGAACUUGUCCACGUCGAAGCAAUCUAUGUCAAACCAGAGGAAACAUUUAGAGAGGAAGCAUCCAGGCGUUCUUCUGAAAGGCACGUUUAGUCCAUCUGAUACUCGGGAAGUAUCCACAGUGUCCACAGUUGUUUUGCUUGUCUAACACAGUGAUUGUGUGAUUUUGGAAAACUAUUGUUUUUCCCGUUUUGAUUUUGAAUGAUAUGUUGCAAACACUUCUAUUUUUGUCAACAUUCCAUUGACUGUUAAAUGUUCAAUGACUAACUUGACUACCCAUCGUCCAUCUUAAUUCUUGAUGCACUGUAUUAUGCCGUGUUUAAUUUUACAAGCAAGGGUGUGCAAAGAAAAAAUCAAGAAAAAUAAAAUGUGAUGUAAAAGUCUUA